UGAAAUGAAGGUUAGUCUCUUCUCUCAUUUUCUCUCUCUAGAAUUCUAGGGGUUUCCACUUUUUCUCUGAUUUGCUUCUACAUUCAUGCAUGUUUACAUGGUAUCAUAGCAAAGAUACCGAUAGAUCUGCUCUUCCUAUUUUGAAUGGUGAUACCCUUGAAGGUUUUCAUUGAUAUUUUGGUGCCCAAAGUUGCUCGUUGAGUGUUUUUUUGUGAAGUUUUUGAUGUUUUUCUUUAGGCAUUGCUGUUUCGUUUACCUCAUUCGUGAUCGUUUAUGAGGAUUUCGGUAAUUUUUCAAAGAUUUUUUAUUACUUUGACCGUGACUAUUUCUUACAUUAUUGAAUAAGGCUUUUACUUCUUCGAGUUAUGAAGAAGGCUGAUAAUAUCUUUCUUGCUGAUUAUCCUUAUCCUAUUUAUUUUGCGAGUUCAGGCGUUGCUUGAACUUCUUUGAUUGUUGUUCUGUUUAUACUCUAUUUGAGAUAUUGUGAAGUGGUUUGAGUGGCCAAUUAGCUCCUACUCAACUCCUUUAUCUUCAUCCCUCUGACUAUCUUGGUAUGAUUUUGGUUACCAAGCCUUUCAUUGGUACUGGUUAUGGCAGAUGAAGGAGAGAGAUGUUUAUCUAUUUGUCCAUUAAAUGCAAAAUAUGGUUUAUAGAUUGUAAGCAAGUAAACCGCCUGCAACUGAUGCUUUAUAUGAUACUUGAAUUAUAUUUAAGGACAUGGUAAUUAUGUGGGUUCUGAAUGGUCUCCAUAAGAAAAUUGAUGAAACUGUUAUUCACACUGAAACUACUAAAUAAAUCUCAACCUAGUGGAACUAAAGUUUUUAGUUUUGGAAAAAUAUUUUUUUCAUUUCUUAGGGAUCCUCUAGCAUAGUUUCUUGUUUUAAUCGUAUUAAGAAGAUAUGGGAUGAGUUAACUGUAUCUGUUACUUAUCCUCUAUGUACUUGUAAUUGUAAAGAUGCUUGGUCUAGGUUAGAAUGGAAACAGAGGGUUCACCAAAUUUUGGUUGGUUUAAAUGAGUCUUAUGGUGAAAUUAGGAGAAAUAUCUUAAUGACUAAGCCUCUUACAGACUUAGACAAUAUGUAUUCCAUGUUGAUUCAUGAUGAAAAACAGUCUGAGCUUCAAUUUUCUCUUUCUUUUUUUUACAUCUACAUUUAUUUUUUUCUGUCACUGGAGCUGGUAAUCAUAAACCAUUUCCCUCAAAGGUGAACUUUGAUAAUAGGUAAAGGAUGAAUUUUGACAAUAGAAAAUCCAUUAUGAACUUUGCUAAUCAAUUUCUAGUAGAAUGAAGGCCAAGGUGGUCAGGGUCUAAAUUGUAAAUAUUAUAAAAAAUUAGGGCAUUUUGUACCCAAAUGUCACAGGCUCUUUGGAUAUCCUCCCAAAUAUCAACUCUCAAAGGACAAAAAGACUGCUGUCUGUGUUCAGUUUAUUGACUCUUUUACUCAACCUGAACAUGUUCCUGCAUACUCAACACCUUCUACUUCUUAACCAGUCUCUUCCACAGAUGAUCUCCACGACAUUACCGUUCUCUUACUACUAUUCAACAUAAUAGGUUACAUGUGUGCUUCUGCCACCUUUGCAGGUGUGACUAGUUUAUCUGAUUUUAAUAAGUGUUGCUUCUGUUCUUAUCAUCUUUCUUAGAUGUAUGAAAACCCUAGGGUUUUAUAUUUCAGAGACAGAAACCACAUGAAAACUCAUAAACAUCUUUUAAUCAACAUAAAGCCUUUGGUUUUUCCCUGCUUAAUAUCUGCCCCUAAUGGAUACAAAGUUAAAGUAACUUGCACUAGUUACUUACCUUUGCAUUCUGAUUUAAUUUUGCAUCAUGACUUAUUAGUUCAUAGUUUUAAAUAUAAUCUCAUCUCCUUACACAAACUUCCACUUCAAUUUAAUUUCAUAACUCAUUUCAUUUCUACUUCUUGUGUCUUACAAGGCUAUUCACUGAAUAGGCCACUAGAAGUUAGUAAACUAUCCAGUGGACUUUGUGUUCCUCAGUUGAAUGGUUCCAACAUCUCCCCAACUCCAUCAUCCUAACUUUCAGCAAAUUUUGUUUCUGCUGCCAACAUUGACUCUUUGGCUACAAAUUUUUCUUUUCCUUCCUUGUUUGCAAGUUCUGAUGUAACUAAACCUAGUUAUAUUUAUUUCUACUAGUAAUUUCAGUUCUACUGUCUCUAAUAAUGCAGAAUUCUUAUCUGUUCCUCAUCAAAUAAAUUUACUUCCUUUAUUUCAAAUUCUUCACUUGUUAAUAAUGCUAAUGUUCCCGUUGCUGAUGCUUUUAUAAACUCAGCUGCUUUUACUAAUAAUUUGGGUCGUGACUUAGCUUGGCAUGAUGAAUUAGGUUAUAUGUAUUUUGCAAAAAUAAAGUCCAUUCUAAUUCUUAAGUCUGUCUUACUUCCCAAGCAAACAUUUCAUUAUUCUAUAAGCCCAAUGGCUAGACACCAGAAAUUACCUUUUUGGGGAGUUCUCUUCACUUCACCAAGCCUUUUCAAUUAAUUCAUCUUGACUUAUAGAUCAUACCCAAACUUAUAAUGGGUUCAAGUACUUUCUCACUACCGUGGAUGAUUACACUAGAUGUAUUCGGACUCACCUGUUAUCCAGUAAAUCAAAUGCCUUCAAAAUCAGUUUCAUGUCAACAUUCAAAGCAUCCGGUUAGAUAAUGCUUUUGAACUAGGAUAUAACAUUAAAGCAAUUUAUUUUUUCUCCUCUCAUGAAAUUUUUCAUCAAACUUCAUGUACUCACACUCCACAAAAAAUGGGGUGGUGGACAGGAAACAUAAAUAUUUACUAAAAACUUCUGGGGUUUUACUUUUUUCAGUCCAAACUCCUAGUUAAAUGUUGGGGUGAAAGUGUCUUCACAAUUGUUUUUUUUGAUUAAUAGGUUUCCUUCUCUUCUUUUACACAACGAAAUUCUUUUUGAAAUUCUCUAUGGGUUUUCCCCUCUUAUUCCCAACUUAAAGCUUUUGGUUGUUUGUGUUAUGCUUCUGUUCCUUUACCUCAAAGGGACAAAUUUCAGUCAAGAUACCUUUCUUCUAUUUUCCUUGGUUAUUAUGUUGGUAAGAAAGAUUAUAAAUUAUUCUCUCUUAUUCUAACAAGUUAUUUUUCUCCAAGGGUGUUCUUUUUCAUGAGUUUACUUUUCCUUAUGCUUAUCCUCCAUCUGCUCCCUUGUUUUUCUCUUCUCCAUUUUUUUUCAUCUGAUUUUGUUCUUGUUGUUUCACCACCUUCUUCAGUACCUCAUUAGUCUAGGGAAUCUUCCAAAUCUGUCUUUACCUCUGCAUAUUUUCAAGACUAUGUUUAAUUUUCUAUUUCUAAUCCCAAGGCUUGUGCUUCUGUUGAAAAUGGCUUGCUAAAGCCACAAUUUUAUCAUCAGCUAGAUUGUUACCCUGCUUGGCAAGAGGCUAUGCUAAUUUGAAGGCCAACUAUACUUAGGACAUUGUCCCUUUGCCUCCUAGUAAGACGACAAUCUCUUCUGAAUGGGGUUAUAAAAUCAAUCAAUGGGCUAAUGGGUCUAUAAAGAGGUAUAAAGCUUGAUUGGUGAUUAUUGGGUACAUUGAGGGGGGUGAUUAUAAUAAACUUUCUCCUCCGUUGUCAAAAUAUCCACCCACCAUUAAAAGUAUUCUGGCUUUGGCAUUCAAUUGGAAAAUCUUCAAACUUGAUAUUAAUAAUGCAUUCCUCCAUGAGAUCUUUUAGAAAAGGUGUAUAUAAAGAUUCCCAAGGUUUGGAGGUUCCUAAAUUUGAUUCCUCUUCUGUCCCUUUUUUUUAAAACUAUCAAAUCUUUAUAUGGGCUAAAAUAAGAUUCAAAACAGAGAUAUGUCAAACUAUUUGAAGCUUUUCAGCCCAAGGGGUUUAUUAUUAGUUUCAAUGACUACUCUCUUUUCACCAAAAAUUCUAAAUCUUCUAUCACUAUAGUGGUUGUGUACAACUAAUGUUUUUUGCUUAUUGGCAUUGAUACAGUCCAUAUUUUCUCUCUUAAAAAGUUUUUUGAUGACAGUUUAAGAUUAAAGAUCUGGGUGAAACCCAUUAUUUUCUUGGUUUAGAGAUCAUUUGCCAGCCUUUUGGAUUGCUUGUGACACAAUAUAACUUUACUUCAGAUCUUCUCUCUGAAUUUAAUUAUACUGAUGUUUCUCCUGUGGUGAGUCCUAUCGAAUUGUAUGGAAAAUUGUCUAUUGAUGUUGGAAGUUCUUUUCCUGAUCCAAGCUUGUACAAAAAAUUAGUUGGGAAUUUAAAUUAUUUGCAGCAUACCCGACCAAAAAUUUCUUUUGCGGUUCAACAUCUCAUGUAAUUCCUUCAUUGUCCUCGUAUACCUCAUUUAAAGGCGGUUUUCAUGUGUUGUGCUAGCUUGCUGGUUUUUCUAACUUAGGCAUCCUUUUGAGUAACUCUGAUGAUCUUUCUCUUACUGUUUUUGUGACUUUGAACGAGCUGAGUGUGUUCAAGACGUCCCAUCACUGAUUUUUAAAUUUUAUUCGAUGGUUCUCCAGUAACUUGGAAGUAUAAAAAGCAGCCUAUAAUAGCUCUCUUAUCAGCAGCAACACCUAAAACACCAAAAACAAAGCCCCAAGCCAAUAACAUGCACAUAGAAACUACCCGGCCUAGCAGCUAGAAUACACACCACAAAAAUUACCAAUAAGCACCACAACCAGUCCAUAAUGUAUUCACAGGAAGCCGAAACUAAGAAUAGGCAGACACAAUAAACAAGCUACAAGAAAUAGACAGGAGACAAAUAAGAAACCAGAAACAAGAGCAAAAACAAGGACAAUCAAGAUGGAAACAAGCAACAAACUAAACAAACUAAACAACAAAAUAAACAAAAAAGUUCAACAAAACCAAAACUGAAAAGAAGUGGCUAAAUAUUAAAGUAAAGAUGUCACCGGUAUGCCUGUGUGCUGCUGGUUAAGAUGAUAUCUAUGUCGGAAUUAGCUGCCGGAGCGUCGUCGGAAUUCCACCAGCGAGUCUGGUUCUUGCUGAAAUCUGGUCGUCGGCGUCUUUGUACCCACUUGCUUUGACCGGUGCUACCCUCUUACACUUCGCUGCAGCUGAGGAGUCGAGCCGGCGGGAGCCCUAGUCCCACCGGUGAUAGUAGUGAUGGGGAGAGAAAGGGANNNNNNNNNNNNNNNNNNNNNNNNNNNNNNNNNNNAAAAUGAGGAGGGGGGUGUAACCGUACCUAUUUACGGCGUGCCUACGCCGUCUCCGGUGUCGGCCGGUCGGUGGUGGUCAGUGAACAUUAGGGCUAGUAGGGCCGUGAACGUUGGAGAGGGUCAGAGAACGUUUCGUAGAAAUAAGAAUCCACUCUCUUAAAACAUCCAAUAUCGCUAUACGUAUGAGAAUGAAUAAUAAAAAUAGUAUUAAUGCCAUUGUGUGCUCGUGUGGGGGUAUAUGCAUUGUUAUUGGUGGGUUGAGACAAUAAUUUCUAUGUGUGGCCCAUGUGAGGGUCUUAUAUAAUAUUAUUGGCUUUGCGCAUGCAUAUGAUUAUUUUCUUCUUAUAGAAUUGCUUAAGUUGGGAUCUUGUAACGACCAUCUUUUUGAUGAAAUAUGUGAAAUAUGUGUUUCUAUGUUAUUUCACUAUUUUACCUUUUUCUAUAGUUGCAUUAUGGUAUUUAUGGGGUGUGAGGGUGAUUGACACAGUUUUUGAUAUAUUUUGGUACCAUUUAUGUGAUAUUGUAGUUUUUGAUGGCUUCGAGAGCCUUAUUUUGGAUUUAUGUGGAUAUCUUUUGAUCCGCGCGAUGGAUGUUUGAACGGACUAAACCACCAACUCUGAAAUAUUAAUCGUAGGCUAGGUAGACCUUUGGUUCAGGUCCUGGUGCACCCGAGCUCAUUUCAAUCGAUAGGUCAGAAAGUUGGAAAAUUGAAAAUAUGGGUGUGGGACCCAUAUUUGGUCGAAACAACCUCGGAUGAAAAAUUAAACUUCGAAACAACCUCGGAUGGAAAAUAAAGAUUCUCCAGCAGAUCCUAAACGUCCAUUUUAGGAUGGUAACAUAUAUGGUGUAAUUUUAUGGCUUUUAUAGCUCAUUUUGACCC
rnacentral:lncRNA from 1 species